rnacentral:rRNA from 1 species
AGAUUUUUCGGUUGGGGAGGGGCUCGCGGCCUAUCAGCUUGUUGGUGAGGUAAUGGCUCACCAAGGCGUCGACGGGUAGCCGGCCUGAGAGGGUGACCGGCCACACUGGGACUGAGACACGGCCCAGACUCCUACGGGAGGCAGCAGUGGGGAAUAUUGCACAAUGGGCGGAAGCCUGAUGCAGCAACGCCGCGUGAGGGAUGACGGCCUUCGGGUUGUAAACCUCUUUUAGCAGGGAAGAAGCGAAAGUGACGGUACCUGCAGAAAAAGCGCCGGCUAACUACGUGCCAGCAGCCGCGGUAAUACGUAGGGCGCAAGCGUUAUCCGGAAUUAUUGGGCGUAAAGAGCUCGUAGGCGGUUUGUCGCGUCUGCUGUGAAAUCCCGAGGCUCAACCUCGGGCCUGCAGUGGGUACGGGCAGACUAGAGUGCGGUAGGGGAGAUUGGAAUUCCUGGUGUAGCGGUGGAAUGCGCAGAUAUCAGGAGGAACACCGAUGGCGAAGGCAGAUCUCUGGGCCGUAACUGACGCUGAGGAGCGAAAGGGUGGGGAGCAAACAGGCUUAGAUACCCUGGUAGUCCACCCCGUAAACGUUGGGAACUAGUUGUGGGGUCCAUUCCACGGAUUCCGUGACGCAGCUAACGCAUUAAGUUCCCCGCCUGGGGAGUACGGCCGCAAGGCUAAAACUCAAAGGAAUUGACGGGGACCCGCACAAGCGGCGGAGCAUGCGGAUUAAUUCGAUGCAACGCGAAGAACCUUACCAAGGCUUGACAUAUACGAGAACGGGCCAGAAAUGGUCAACUCUUUGGACACUCGUAAACAGGUGGUGCAUGGUUGUCGUCAGCUCGUGUCGUGAGAUGUUGGGUUAAGUCCCGCAACGAGCGCAACCCUCGUUCUAUGUUGCCAGCACGUAAUGGUGGGAACUCAUGGGAUACUGCCGGGGUCAACUCGGAGGAAGGUGGGGAUGACGUCAAAUCAUCAUGCCCCUUAUGUCUUGGGCUUCACGCAUGCUACAAUGGCCGGUACAAAGGGCUGCAAUACCGUGAGGUGGAGCGAAUCCCAAAAAGCCGGUCCCAGUUCGGAUUGAGGUCUGCAACUCGACCUCAUGAAGUCGGAGUCGCUAGUAAUCGCAGAUCAGCAACGCUGCGGUGAAUACGUUCCCGGGUCUUGUACACACCGCCCGUCAAGUCAUGAAAGUCGGUAACACCUGAAGCCGGUGGCCUAACCCUUGUGGAGGGAGCCGUCGAAGGUG